UCUCGGUUAGUAUAAUGGUUCAGUAUCUCCGCCUGUCAACGACAACAGUCCGCGGAAGAUCCGGGUUCGAUUCCCGGACCGAGAG